GAUGAACGCUGGCGGCGUGCUUAACACAUGCAAGUCGAACGAAACACCUUAUUUGAUUUUCUUCGGAACUGAAGAUUUGGUGAUUGAGUGGCGGACGGGUGAGUAACGCGUGGGUAACCUGCCCUGUACAGGGGGAUAACAGUCAGAAAUGACUGCUAAUACCGCAUAAGACCACAGCACCGCAUGGUGCAGGGGUAAAAACUCCGGUGUUACAGGAUGGACCCGCGUCUGAUUAGCUGGUUGGUGAGGUAACGGCUCACCAAGGCGACGAUCAGUAGCCGGCUUGAGAGAGUGAACGGCCACAGUGGGACUGAGACACGGCCCAAACUCCUACGGGAGGCAGCAGUGGGGAAUAUUGAACAAUGGGGGAAACCCUGAUGCAGCGACGCCGCGUGAGUGAAGAAGUAUUUAGGUAUGUAAAGCUCUAUCAGCAGGGAAGAAAAUGACGGUACCUGACGAAGAAGCCCCGGCUAACUACGUG
rnacentral:rRNA from 1 species